UUAAGCAUAUCACUGAGCGCAGGAGAAGAAACUAACCAGGAUUUCCCUAGUAACGGCGAGCGAACCGGAAAGAGCCCAGCUUGAAAAUCGUGGCGCCCCGGCGCCUCGAAUUGUAGUCUGGAGAAGGUCCCUCUGCGGCGCGCCGGACCCAAGUUCCCUGGAAAGGGACGCCAUCGAGGGUGAGAGCCCCUUUGAUUCCGGAGUGCGCCGCUCCACGAGGACCUGUCUGCGAGUCGGGCUGUUUGGGAAUGCAGCCCUAAGCGGGUGGUAAAUUCCAUCCAAGGCUAAAUAUUGGCAAGAGACCGAUAGCGAACAAGUACCGCGAGGGAAAGAUGAAAAGGACUUUGAAAAGAGAGUUAAAAAGUGCUUGAAAUUGCUGGGAGGGAAGCGAAUGGAAGCUGCGGGUGCGCCCCGGUUGGAUGUGGAACGGCUGUCAAAGGCUGGUCCGCCGCUCAACGCGGGGCGCUGGUCAGCGUGGGCCAUCGCGGCGGGACAAGAGCGGGGAUUCGUUUCCCGCCGAUGCCGCUGUGGUGGCCGAGGAACGAAGCGCGCGCCUCUGGCGUGGGACUCGUCCCAACUGCGCGCUCGGGACGCUGGCGUAUUGAGCUCUUCAUCCGACCCGUCUUGAAACACGGACCAAGGAGUCUAACAUGUAUGCGAGCCGGUGGGCGGCAAACCCAUUGAGGCGCAAGUAACCUGACAGGUGGGACCCCGACCGCAAGGGAGGGAGCACCAUCGACCGACCGUGAUCUUCUGUGAAGGGUUCGGUGGUGAGC
rnacentral:rRNA from 1 species